CAUCUCCUAGUAUGCAACCUAGUUCAUGUGUGCCAGAUGUUUCUAGAACCAUAUAAACUGAGCUUUAUUUAUGUUCUGUUUAGAAUUCUGAGGCAUUAUUACACUCUUUGAUCUAUGUUGACCAAAGAAAAAUGUAUGUCUUCAAAUGAGUGCUCUGGAAAAGUCCUCAGUAACAAAUAGCUACAGAUUUCUUCUAUCCAAGGAGGACACCUAGAGGCUACUUUUGUGAUGUGAUCGCCAAUCCUGAAAUGCUUUCCAAAUUCUUUUCUUCACAGAUCCAAUCAUAAACCAUUCAUUGCAGAUCCAGUAAGUC
rnacentral:lncRNA from 1 species